AUACGUAGGUGACAAGCGUUAUCCGGAUUUACUGGGCGUAAAGGGCGUGUAGGCGGUCUUGCAAGUCAGAAGUGAAAUUCCUGAGCUCAACUCGGGCGCUGCUUCUGAAACUGCCGGACUUGAGUGCUGGAGGGGAUAGCGGAAUUCCUAGUGGAGCGGUAAAAUGCGCAGAUAUUAGGAAGAACACCGGUGGCGAAGGCGGCUAUCUGGACAGAAACUGACGCUGAGGCCCGAAAGCGGGGGGAGCAAACAGGAUUAAAUACCCUGGUAGGCCACGCCGUAAACGAUGAAUACUAGGUGUUGGGGGUAUCGACUCCCUCUGUGCCGCAGUUAACACAAUAAGUAUUCCGCCUGGGGAGUACGGCCGCAAGGUUGAAACUCAAAUGAAUUGGCGGGG
rnacentral:rRNA from 1 species